UUUCUAGUUCAUUCCAUUUGCCUAUGAAUUUCAUGAAGUCAUUGUUUUGAUAACUGAGUAGUACUCCAUUGUGUAGAUGCACCACAUUUUUUAAUCUAUUCCUCUGUUGAAGGGCAUCUGGGAUCUUUCCAGCUUCUGGCUAUUAUAAAUAAGGCUGCUAUGAACAUAGUGGAGCAUGUGUCUUUGUUGUAUGUUGGGGCAUCUUUUGGGUAUAUGUCCAAGAAGGUAUAGCUGAAAGGUCACUGUUGCAGGUGGUUACCCAAGGAAUCCACAUCAACAGGUGGGGACAUCUUUAAUGUGGGCCCCAGAGACUUUGAGUGGUCCUUUUGCUUCAAGGACAGGAGUUCACUGGGGGAUUGUUCAGGAAGCUUGUAAUUCACAUCGGACACAUGGAGUAGCUUAUGAAAUUGUUUAUUCUUCUGUACAUAUUUUUGGUGAUACCCAGUAGCUCAAAAAUACAACCUCUUUCACAAAAGAUCCCCUACAACAUUUCUAAAUUGGUUUUAUAGAAUUUGUUCUAUUCGUUGUUCCUCAAGAAAAAUUGGUCUUCAAAAUGACCACCAAGAUAUCUUAUAACUAAAUACAUAAGAGAAGAGAGAAGGAAAAACUAUGAAGCAAAGUAAGAAGCUGUGAGGAGAGCACAGGCAGCUGACUGGUUUACUAAGGAAAUGUAGAAACUGUAAUAUAGCCCCGGUAAGAUUGCAUGAGAGAACUUCUGCUUAGUAACAAGGCUAAUUUUAGGUUGUAUAUCAUCCUCGGUGUUUAACAUGAGAAGCAAGGAAGGCAUUCUUUUUACAGUGAUUUAAAUUUGAGAAUGAAAACUGUUCCUACCUCCUCCCAAGGGAAAAAAAUGAGAGUAGACAUCCUCUGGUUCAUUUGGCUAUUUGACAGAAUUCUUACCCUAUCCUCAGCCUCAGUUAGGAAAUGACCAAGAGAAUUACUUUAUAAAUAUCGUGUUUUGCAUGAAAUGUGAAGUUAAAACUGAAGCUAGAAGUGUUUGUGGUUGUAAUUGUUUUGUUUGAAAUGUAUUUUUUUCGAUUAUAAAAUAAAACCGGUGUUAAUUUCAA
rnacentral:lncRNA from 1 species